rnacentral:rRNA from 1 species
ACGGGUGAGUAACGCGUGAGAACGUGCCCUUCGGUUCGGAAUAACUCAGGGAAACUUGAGCUAAUACCGGAUACGCCCUUUUGGGGAAAGGCUUGACUGCCGAAGGAUCGGCCCGCGUCUGAUUAGCUAGUUGGUGAGGUUACGGCUCACCAAGGCGACGAUCAGUAGCUGGUCUGAGAGGAUGAUCAGCCACACUGGGACUGAGACACGGCCCAGACUCCUACGGGAGGCAGCAGUGGGGAAUAUUGGACAAUGGGGGCAACCCUGAUCCAGCCAUGCCGCGUGAGUGAUGACGGCCUUAGGGUUGUAAAGCUCUUUUCUCCGGGACGAUAAUGACGGUACCGGAGGAAUAAGCCCCGGCUAACUUCGUGCCAGCAGCCGCGGUAAUACGAAGGGGGCUAGCGUUGCUCGGAAUCACUGGGCGUAAAGGGCGCGUAGGCGGCUGAUUUAGUCGAGGGUGAAAGCCCGUGGCUCAACCACGGAAUGGCCUUCGAUACUGGUUGGCUUGAGACCGGAAGAGGACAGCGGAACUGCGAGUGUAGAGGUGAAAUUCGUAGA